AUAGAUGGAGCCCUGAGGAGAAGGAGUCCUUUGAGAAGGCUUUGCACACCUAUGGCAAGGAUUUCCAUCUCAUCCAGAAGCAGAUUCCCAGCAAGACUGUGGCCCAGUGUGUGGAGUACUACUACUCCUGGAAAAAACAACAGAAACUUGCCCGCACUCCUGCUCAGGGUAUUUGAAACCAAGAAGGAAAGGAAUGCACACAGGAGAAGACAUCACCCACAGAAGGAAGCAGAGCCUGUUCCAAAGAAGAAAAGAUCAAAUUAGGCCUGCACUUGUCCAGGGCUAGCAAGAGUUAGCUGUCAAGAAGACUAGAUAGAAAUAGGAUUGUUUUGAAGAGGUGUUUAUUCUUUGAUUUACUUUACCAGAUAGGCAUUUCCCCAUUUAUCAGUUAAGAUUCAUUAGUAUUCUUAGAAGUUUUUAGUAUAAUUAGUUUUAUCCGUACAUGUUAGUAGUUUAGUGUUGUUCACUCUGCUGCACCUUUUGUCAUAUUGUAUUUGUUAAGAAAAGAUCUGUGUUUCUCAUUAAA